rnacentral:sRNA from 1 species
CCUCGUUUCAGGACAAUAAUAAUUAACAAUGCUUGCUUCAGGACAGGAUAAUGAAUGAACGAAUUGCCCUUUGUCAUUCGUUUGUUAACCGGAGACCUGCAGAAAGAGAAGAAAUGAAAUUUCCUAUCUACAAGUCUAACAGAACUUCAGGGAGAAAAGAAGGGCUAUGUCCUGGCUAAUUUUAGCGUACCUUGACCUAAUCAUGUGGGCAGGGAAUUAAAUUUGGCUUGGGAACAAAGUCCUGGUGAUAAAACCCGUUUCAUUUCAGUUGGCCAAUUCCCAAAGGAUUUGGGGUUAUUAAGCUUGGGGGCAUGGUGCCUAGCCUUUGGUUGCUAAAUUAUUUAGGGGUGUGGAAGUUAUCGGAGCCCU